CCAAAAUGAGUUGGUUUGUCACGGACUGGGGACCUAAAAAGGGUCUGUCAAAAACAACACACAUCUAUCGCAUUGGCGAGAACAGCACAAUGAGGACCGCAGUACAAGUUAAUAGCAUAGUAACGAUGUUCGUGUCUAUGCCGAAGAAAGUAUUAGUAAAGCAUCUACCUCACCAACACCGACAAGCAAAGAAACAAUAAAAAUGGAAGAUACAGGUAGUAUUGAAUGUUUCAGCUUUUUGUUGCUUCAGUCAAUUGUAAUUAGGUCCGAUGUACUGAUAUGUCUGGCUCAAAAAAUGUCCUUAUGGAUGUAGUAAUGACGACAUAUACCCAGCAAACACGCAAGAUUCCGCCAAUCUUGGGACAAGCUUAGCAAAAGUUUGUACCAUUGGUUUAUUCAUUGCCAAGCAUCCGCCAAGCAAACGCCAACGUUCACUAUGCGAGCAUAACGCUAUCGUUCAUGUCAGCUGCGGUGGGGACAUUGGCAAAGCUUGGCAAGCCGCUUUCCCGCCAACGAUCGCGAUACAGGCGAGGUCACCAAGUUUGAGCCAAGCUCGCUGACAUAAAUGAUUUAUGACUAUCAAGACAUGUUUUACAAACCGCUUAUUUGUAAUUAUUUUGUAGAUUGUUAAAUAACAUAUAAAUAUAUUUUAUACUUUAUGGUUAUUACAAUCUCAAAAAGUAUAAAGGUAGAGAUAUUUUAUCAAGAACGCUCACUCGCCUAAACCUUCGCACGUGUUCGGGUCUCCGGCAUAUUUAUAUAUAAAACAGAGCGAAAUUGGAGUUACACUCGAUCUGAUCUUCAUUAUUUUUUAGGAAAGAUCUUCACGCUUCUUCAAAAUGUUGUCACGAUACAAGUACACAGAUUUAAAUAUUUUAUUCAUCGACCAUCAUCUGAAAAUUUAGCAAAGUUGACCGAUUCUUACUUAAACUGGAGACACAUAAAAAAUUGCUGUAGGGACAGCCAGUCCGAUUUGCCUUACACAAAAGUUAGCGAAAUUAGAAUCCGAAAAGACAUUAACAAUCAAAACUAAAUUCAAACGAACACAAACAAAGAUCUAAGUAAUUCAUAUAAUGUAAAAAAGUUAUGUACAUUUUUUUCUAAUUUUUCCUCUUGGGUUGACACAUACAAUUUUAUUUACUUUUACGUUCAUCAAUACAUCUGAUUCAAUACACCAAACAAAUACAAGUAUUUUUUUAUAUUAUUCAGUUUAUUAAAGCAGAAUUUGAGUCUAAAAAAACACAGGUGUGUUUAUGUGAGUGUAUGUAUGUGUAUAUUGCUUUCAUUUUCAUUCAUUAAACUCAAAUGCAUGCAAAGUUGAGUAAAUGUCAUUUCAUUAACAACAUUUACUUUUGCCCUCAAUUGUGUACUUAUCUGUUCCUAUCCUAGCACAUUACCAUAUUUCUAUACUACGGAACAGGAAAUUGAUAUGUUUUUGAUGCUUAAUAAUUAUUUUAAAGGAUUUCUCUUAUUAGAUGGUAUAAGUCAAUGAUGCUCAUAAAUUGUGUAAUUUUAACGACAGUGAUUUAUCUAGAGGAGAUAGUAAGUUAAAUUUAAAUGGAUUGAGUAUGAGUAUAUAUAGGCAUUGGAAGGGUUUUUCUGCUUAAAGCAUAUUAUUCUUGUUAGCAUUAGAUAUUUUCUAUCUGUUCAACAACCACUGUACUGGGUCGGUUCUUAUAAUAUUAAAUACACCUAAAAGAAAAUACACGAUUAAUAAAAACAAAAGGUAUUGUAAACAAGUUAUUUCGGUUGAUAUAGACCAGUGUCCAAUUAAAAUUAAAUGCCUACAGUAUUUUGAUUAAAGAAAUAAGGUUUAAAAAAGACAUUUUAUUUGUUAAAGUUUCUUAUAAAUUAUAGUCUUUUCCUAUUUAUUUCCUAAGUUUUAAUGAUUUCAGAAAAAAGUUUUUUUCUCAAUUUAAAAGAUGUACCACAUUAUCCAGCUAUUCGAAGAUGGAAAGACGUCUGCAGCCAUCAUGCCCGAUGAAUGGUUCAUCCCAGAGAGCACCAAUAGAUAUUGCUGGCCUAGCUCUAAAACAGACCCCCCCUGGGUCGAAAACACAAAAAUGCCAUGCCCGAACUGAAACAUUUUUACCUACCAGCGGAUAAUUAAAAGGACAUGUAAUUUUUUUUCUCUGUGUGUGUUCAUUUUAUAACUCCUUGUUUGUCAAACAAUUAAAAAAUUUCUUCUAAUGCACUAAUUAUAAAUUGAAUAUAGUGCAUCAAAUAAUGUUUGAAAGAAAUUUUGUAUUUGAUACUUUAGAAAUUAAAUAAUUAGUACUACUUCAGUUUGUGAUUAAUUGUGAUAGUUCUGUCUCUUGUCAUAUUUUAUGACAUUUUGUCAGUGUCACACCAUGAUUUAUGAUUCGUUCUGCCUGAAAAUAAAACAGUGGACCAGCGUAUCUUAUCUCCAUAGUUUAAGCAUAAACUUGACUUAUUUAUAGACUUGAAAAUUUGCUUUUAAAGGAAUUUGGAGCCUUCAAGGCUAUCCUUUCUGUUUGUAGACAUACAAAAGUUUUAUGAGAGCUUCCACUCAAUUCUCUCCCUUGUAUUAUCAAGGAAUCGUUGUACUGAGACUAUAUGAUAACAGAGUAGCGACCCUCAGGUCAUCUUCCUAAGUUUGUGAAAGGUGAGAGACCGCCUAAGCAGGAUGCCGUGUUUUGCACAACAGCCAGAAGUGACCACCAGGCCAUGGGUGGACUGGUAGGCUGGUACUGUUGGUGGACACAAUAGCCAGGAGUGACCACGCCAACUAGGUGUGGACUAUAAGGCGAGUACUGUUAGUGGACACAGCAGCCAGUGGUGACCACCAGGAGCCAGUGGAAAUCCAUGAGGUGCUUGCAGGUUCAGUAGCCGGUUGGUGACCACAAGGGUCUGUGUGAGACGCGAGUGGACUUCGUGAUUUCUUGGUAGUGUUACAGUUCUUUACGUAUACUUGAAAGCCUUGAUUGAUGGACGACAGGCUGCACAUAUGUGUGUGUGUGUGCGCGAGUCUAAGUUUACUCUGUGCUAGCGUUAAAACUUUAUUUGCUUAGAGAUGUUCUGUAUUAGAGUGCUUCAUCGUUGUUGAUUUAGUGACGUGUCUGCCGCUUAACGCAUGGGGGUGAGGGGGGGCACCCUUUCGUUGGUCGAAUUUUGAAAGGAGAACUUAAUAGGGCUACAUCAGGUCAUAGCUAUAGGUGGGUCUUGGAGUGGGAAGUUUUUUUGUUUCAUGCUGAGGUCACCUAGUGACAGAUGUUCUUUUGUUUUCUCCACAGGCUUACCAUCUUUAACAUCUUUGUCAUCUCCAUCGUCCGUGCCAUCCUUUUCAGCUUAACUUCUGAUAUUCUUCGUAUCUUCGUGUGAUCAUGUCGACGUUGUCCUGGUUCUUGUCGUCGCUGCAUUUUUUAAACGUCAUCUUAUUCUCUUUCAGCCCCUGUAUGCGCGGAGUCUCAACCCUGCUGUUCCGUCCUCCCUUCAUUUCUUCGUUCUGUCGCCUUCUUCCUUCGGUUCUGUGUUGUGUGGUCAACAUGGCAGCUCGGACUGUGACCAGCAAAGUGUCCCUGUGCACAUGGGACAGUCAGUGCAGUGGUGAUCAGUGCAAGAGCAUCGCGUAAGAGACACAAACUGAAGGAGACAGUGUCAGUACACAGUGUCUACAUCUAACGUCAGGACUGAAUGUCUCAGGUGCAAGAACUCUGAUAUUACUGUGCCGCAGUGUGUGGUGGUGUUUUUUUCAUUAUCUCCCUUACUAACAUCACUCAUUACCAUUAUUUUGGCGUGGGGUAGUACCCUGUUUUCUUGCGUGUGUGCGUAUACGCACAUGUGUAUUUCUCUGAUUUCUUUUUUUUUACUUUUCUCAUUUUUUUAUCCACAUGUGAUUAAACUUCUUAUUUGUA